GGGGAUUUAGCUCAGUGGUAGAGCGCUUGCCUAUUAAGUGCAAGGCCCUGGGUUCGGUUCUCAGCUCCA
rnacentral:tRNA from 1 species